rnacentral:rRNA from 1 species
AUGAACGCUAGCGGCAGGCUUAACACAUGCAAGUCGAGGGGCAGCGCUGGGUGGCAACACCCUGGCGGCGACCGGCGGAAGGGUGCGUAACACGUGAGCAACUUGCCCGUAUCCGGGACAUAACCGGCGGAAACGCCGACUAAUUUCCCAUGACAGCGGGGGCCGCAUGGCCCUGGUUUGAAAGACACGUCGGAUGCGGAUGGGCUCGCGGGACAUUAGCUGGUUGGAGUGGUAACGGCACACCAAGGCUACGAUGUCUAGGGGUUCUGAGAGGAAGGUCCCCCACACUGGAACUGAGACACGGUCCAGACUCCUACGGGAGGCAGCAGUGAGGAAUAUUGGUCAAUGGGCGGAAGCCUGAACCAGCCAUGCCGCGUGAAGGAAUGAGGCCCUACGGGUCGUGAACUUCUUUUGUGGCGGAGCAAUAAGGGCCACGUGUGGUCCGACGAGAGUACGUCACGAAUAAGCACCGGCUAACUCCGUGCCAGCAGCCGCGGUAAUACGGAGGGUGCAAGCGUUAUCCGGAUUUAUUGGGUUUAAAGGGUGCGUAGGCUGUCCGACAAGUCAGGGGUGAAAGCCCGGCGCCCAACGCCGGAACCGCCCUUGAUACUGCCGGGCUGGAAUGCGGAUGCCGUGGGAGGAAUGAGUAGUGUAGCGGUGAAAUGCAUAGAUAUUACUCAGAACACCGAUUGCGAAGGCAUCUCACGAAUCCGCCAUUGACGCUGAGGCACGAAAGCGUGGGUAGCGAACAGGAUUAGAUACCCUGGUAGUCCACGCAGUAAACGAUGAUGACUAACCGUCGGCGAUACACUGCCGGUGGCCAAGCGAAAGCGAUAAGUCAUCCACCUGGGGAGUACGUUCGCAAGAAUGAAACUCAAAGGAAUUGACGGGGACCCGCACAAGCGGUGGAGCAUGUGGUUUAAUUCGAAGCAACGCGAAGAACCUUACCAAGUCUUGACAUCCCGAUGACAAGCUAUGUAAUGUAGCCUCUCUUCGGAGCAGGAGUGACAGGUGGUGCAUGGUUGUCGUCAGCUCGUGUCGUGAGAUGUUGGCUUAAGUGCCAUAACGAGCGCAACCCUUGCCGCCAGUUACCAUCAAGUGAAGUUGGGGACUCUGGCGGGACUGCCACCGCAAGGUGCGAGGAAGGCGGGGAUGACGUCAAAUCAGCACGGCCCUUACGUCCGGGGCGACACACGUGUUACAAUGGCGGCUACAGAGGGAUGCCACCCCGCGAGGGGGAGCGGAUCUCGAAAGGCCGUCUCAGUUCGGAUCGGAGUCUGCAACCCGACUCCGUGAAGCUGGAUUCGCUAGUAAUCGCGCAUCAGCCAUGGCGCGGUGAAUACGUUCCCGGGCCUUGUACACACCGCCCGUCAAGCCAUGAAAGCCGGGGGCGCCUGAAGUCCGUGACCGAGAGGAGCGGCCUAGGGCGAACCUGGUAAUUGGGGCU